UACAGAGGGUGCGAGCGUUAAUCGGAUUUACUGGGCGUAAAGGGCGCGUAGGUGGUAAAGCAAGUAAGAUGUGAAAGCCCUGGGCUUAACCUGGGAAGUGCAUCUUAAACUGCUUAACUAGAGUAUGGUAGAGGGUAGUGGAAUUUCCGGUGUAGCGGUGAAAUGCGUAGAGAUCGGAAGGAACGCCAGUGGUGAAGACGACUACCUGGACCAAUACUGACACUGAGGCGCGAAAGCGUGGGGAUCAAACAGG
rnacentral:rRNA from 3 species